AGUGAACGCUGGCGGUAGGCCUAACACAUGCCAGUCGAACGGCAGCACAGUAAGAGCUUGCUCUUACGGGUGGCGAGUGGCGGACGGGUGAGGAAUACAUCGGAAUCUACUUUUUCGUGGGGGAUAACGUAGGGAAACUUACGCUAAUGCCGCAUACGACCUACGGGUGAAAUCAGAGGAUCUUCGGACCUUGCGCGAUUGAAUGAGCCGAUGUCGGAUUAGCUAGUUGGCGGGGUAAAGGCCCACCAAGGCGACGAUCCGUAGCUGGUCUGAGAGGAUGAUCAGCCACACUGGAACUGAGACACGGUCCAGACUCCUACGGGAGGCAGCAGUGGGGAAUAUUGGACAAUGGGCGCAAGCCUGAUCCAGCCAUACCGCGUGGGUGAAGAAGGCCUUCGGGUUGUAAAGCCCUUUUGUUGGGAAAGAAAAGCAGCAGGUUAAUACCCCGCUGUUCUGACGGUACCCAAAGAAUAAGCACCGGCUAACUUCGUG
rnacentral:rRNA from 1 species